GAGUUGCGAACGGGUGAGUAACGCGUAGGUAACCUGCCUGGUAGCGGGGGAUAACUAUUGGAAACGAUAGCUAAUACCGCAUGACAACAGUUAUUGCAUGAUAACUGUUUAAAAGGGGCAAUUGCUCCACUACCAGAUGGACCUGCGUUGUAUUAGCUAGUUGGUGAGGUAACGGCUCACCAAGGCGACGAUACAUAGCCGACCUGAGAGGGUGAUCGGCCACACUGGGACUGAGACACGGCCCAGACUCC
rnacentral:rRNA from 1 species